AAAAGCGAUGAAGCCAGAGAUUGCAGCCUUUCCCGUGGCUGGUAACUCGGUGGAGCAAAUGUCUUGUCAGGAUACAGGCGA
rnacentral:ncRNA from 1 species